GUGUGCCCAGUGUGUGGCUGCACUGCUACUGUCAUUUGAGCAGUUUUCUCAUUUCGAGUGAGAUUUUGCAGCAAGUUUAGUCAUAAUAAGAUGUUCAUAAAAGACAAAGAUGAUUUAAUUAAAGGAUUACUGCUUGAUAAAACCAACCAGCACCUGAUGGUGGAACAGAUUGUUUUUCUUUUUACAAAAGAGCCUGUGGACAAACUUGCAUCCAGAUUGAUUAAACCAGAUUGUCCUUCAAAAGAUGUAAGCCUGGCUACAGUCUCAGACAUCACCUCCUGACUCAUAGGAAGGCAGCUUCUGGAGGGGAAAAGAGACAGCAAAGAGCAACAUGAAGGGAGGUGUUGAACACGGGGGGUUUUUAGUGAAAGGAGCAGAAAGACAAUGACAGUCGGUCGGUCCACCACUGAAAUAUCUCAACACCUGUCAGAUGGAUUCCCAUGUAAUAUUGUGCAAACUGUCAUGGUUCCCAGAUGAUGAAUGCUAAUGACUUUGGUAAUUCCUUGACAAUCAUUUGAUUGAAUUGGAUUUGGAUUGGAUCUGGCACACACAUUCAAUUUCCAGUCAGAAUGAAUUAUAAUAACUUUUGUGAUCUCUUAACUUUUCAUCUAGCACCUCAGUCAGGUCAAAAUUUCCCAAACUUACCCAGUGAAAUAUCUCAACAUCUUAUAGAUGGUAUGGCACAAAUGUUCAUGCAGACAUUCAUGGUUUCCAGAUGAUGAAUCCUACUGAUGUUGGUCAUCCCCUGACUUUUCCUGCCAACAUUAGGUCAAGAUUUAAAUUUGUCUACUUUUGCUAAACAUUAGCAUCUUAGCAUUGUCAUUGUGAGCAUGUAAGCGAGCUGACAUUACUGUUUAACUCAAAGCAAAACUGUGCCUAAGUACAGCCCCACAGAGUGGCUAGCAUGGCUGCAGACUCUUAGUCUUGUUGAUUUACAUUUCAUCAACCCUCUUUGAGCCUUGAUUGUAAGAAGCUUAUGUAUACUGUG